AGGUAUAUAAUUAAAAUAUAAUAUUUAAUUUGCACUUAAAACUUACCAAUGCGGUUAUGCCU
rnacentral:tRNA from 1 species